ACGGCGAGUGAAGCGGCAACAGCUCAAAUUUGAAAUCUGGCCCUCGGGUCCGAGUUGUAAUUUGUAGAGGAUGCUUUUGGCGCGGUGCCUUCCGAGUUCCCUGGAACGGGACGCCACAGAGGGUGAGAGCCCCGUCUGGUCGGACACCAAGCCUCUGUAAAGCUCCUUCGACGAGUCGAGUAGUUUGGGAAUGCUGCUCUAAAUGGGAGGUAUAUGUCUUCUAAAGCUAAAUACCGGCCAGAGACCGAUAGCGCACAAGUAGAGUGAUCGAAAGAUGAAAAGCACUUUGAAAAGAGAGUUAAAAAGUACGUGAAAUUGUUGAAAGGGAAGCGCUCAUGACCAGACUUGGGCCUGUUUGAUCAACCUGGGUUCUCCCGGGUGCACUCUCUCAGGCCUAGGCCAGCAUCAGUUCGCCGCGGGGGACAAAGGCCUCGGGAAUGUGGCUCCCCUCGGGGAGUGUUAUAGCCCGUUGCGUAAUACCCUGCGGCGGACUGAGGACCGCGCGAAAGCAAGGAU
rnacentral:rRNA from 1 species